GGAGUUGCAAUCGAACUGUGAUGCCAAGAUUUCCGAAUGGAGCAAUCUGCUACGAUGGCGUCUUCGCACGCACGAGGGAACCGGGUGAACUGACACAUCUCAGUAACCCGCGGCAACGAAAGUAAAAACGAUCCCCUACGUAGCGGCGAGCGAACGGGGGUGAGCCCACACCGUAGAUGUGCCAAGGAUGCAGCCGUUGCAUCUACGGGGUAGCGGGAAGAUCGUCUGAAGACCUGCAAGGUAUUCGACACUAUGAUACGCCGAACUGGAAAGGUCUGGAAAGGUCUGCCGUAGAGAGUGAAAGCCCCGUACAGGUAAACCGUAUCCAAUGUAUGACCUCUCCACAGUAGCACGGAACACGAGGAAUUAUGUGUGAAUCUGCGAGGACCAUAUCUCGUAAGGCUAAAUACUCUCACUUACCGAUAGCGAAUAGUAC
rnacentral:rRNA from 1 species